rnacentral:rRNA from 1 species
UACGUAGGGGGCUAGCGUUGUCCGGAUUUAUUGGGCGUAAAGAGCGUGUAGGCGGCCAGGUAGGUCUGCUGUGAAAACUCGAGGCUUAACCUCGAGAUGUCGGCGGAAACCAUCUGGCUAGAGUCCGGAAGAGGAGAGUGGAAUUCCCGGUGUAGCGGUGAAAUGCGCAGAUAUCAGGAAGAACACCCGUGGCGAAAGCGGCUCUCUGGAACGGUACUGACGCUGAGACGCGAAAGCGUGGGGAGCGAACAGG